AACGUGGGCUGUGUUGCCGCGGGGGUGCUGAUGGGAAACGGACCAGUUUGGAAGCGAAGUGAGUAGAGAGAGGUAUCUAUGGCCGGUGCGACUGCGGCUUCUGCUGCCCUCGGCGGCCCUCGCCGACUGAAUGUCAACGUGGGAGUCCUGGGCCAUAUCGACAGCGGCAAGACCGCCUUGGCCCGGGCUCUCAGCACCAUCGGCUCCACCGCCGCUUUCGACAGGGCCCCGCAGAGCCGUGCUCGGGGCAUCACCCUGGACCUGGGCUUCUCUUGUCUUUGCACCGAGCUGCCUCCGCACCUGGGCCCCGAGCCUGGGCUGCUCCAGCUGACCCUGGUGGACUGCCCGGGACACGCCUCCCUUAUCCGUACCAUUAUCGGAGGUGCUCAGAUUAUUGACUUGAUGAUGCUUGUGAUAGAUAUAACUAAAGGAAUGCAGACUCAAUCAGCAGAGUGCUUGGUGAUUGGACAGAUUGCGUGCCAAAAGAUGAUAGUGGUUUUGAACAAAAUUGACCUUCUUCCAGAGGGUAAGCGACAAGCUGCCAUUGACAAGAUGGUGAAGAAAAUGCAUAAGACCCUUGAAAAUACUAAGUUCCAUGGAUGUCCUAUAGUUUCUGUUGCAGCAAAACCUGGUGGUCCAGAAGCCCCAGAAACUGUGACUCCAAUAGGAGUUUCGGAAUUAAUUGAGGUCCUAAAGUCAGAGGCUUAUAUACCAACAAGAGAUCCUUCAGGAUCGUUCCUUAUGGCCAUUGACCACUGUUUUUCCAUUAAGGGCCAAGGCACUGUGAUGACAGGAACUAUUCUUUCAGGCUCAGUUAAUAUUGGGGACAAUGUGGAAAUUCCUGCUUUGAAGGUGACAAAGAAAGUAAAGUCGAUGCAGAUGUUUCAUACACCAGUAACUUAUGCCAUGCAAGGGGAUAGGGUUGGAAUUUGUGUAACCCAGUUUGAUCCAAAGCUGUUGGAACGAGGCCUCAUUUGUACACCUGAAUCUCUCCAGACGAUCCAUGCUGCCAUUAUCUGUUUAAAGAAAAUCCCCUACUUUAGAGGGACUCUUCAAACCAAGGCAAAGUUUCAUAUUACAGUUGGCCAUGAGACUGUUAUGGGAAGAGUAAUGUUCUUCAGCCCAACUCCUGAUGACUUCAGUAAAGAGCCUCUGGAAAAUUAUUUUGAUUUUGAAAAGGAAUACCUUUAUGAGGAGGAAUAUCUUUCCAAUGAUUCAAAGUCCUCAGAAGAAAACAAGGAAAAUGGCCAAGUUGGAGAAAGACAGCUCCCAAAACAACAGUGGGCCUUACUAGAAUUUGAAAAACCAGUUACUUGUCCUAAAUUUUGUCUUGUAAUUGGUUCAAAAUUAGACACUGAUAUUCAUGCAAAUACUUGCAGACUGGCAUUUCAUGGGAUACUCCUCCAUGGAAUGGAAGAGAAGAAUUAUACAGAGGAAUGUCUGCCAAAACUCAAGGUUUACAAGAUGAAACAUAAGGAAGGACAAGUAGAACGGAAGCAUUAAUGGGACAUCUAUGCAACCAUCCCCGAAUGACAGACACACAUGUUUCCUGACAUGUGUCAGUGCCGCCUGACUCGUUAUUAAGUCACAAAAGGGGCAUCUAGAUGCAGACUUUGUGCGAUCCUGUGAUUCAAGGCCUUCAGUGACUAUUUACUCAGAUUCUUCUAACAAUUACAUCAAAUCAGGCUAACUAAAGUAGAAAAGACUGGUUGCUUCCUGGUUAAAGAGCCAGAUUGCUUCCUGGUUCAUUUGCUGAAGAUAAUAUAACCGUUCUCUUAUCUAAAUCAUUUUUAUUUCAAGAACUGAUCUAAAUUAAGUCAUUCUCUGGAUCCAUGAAGAAUCCAAGCAUGUGCCCACCUCACUGCUGCUAAAUGAUAGACGUUUCACUGGGAUAGAACAGGAAAGAAGGAAGAGAAGUUGAGACCUCCAGUGAAGGGAGAAAAUCCAUCAACAGUCUACCCAGGGUUUAGAAAAUCAGCCAAGGGAUUGAAAGGAAUAGACACAGGGAUUCCAGCUGGCGGAAGUAUGGAGGGCGUGGAGGCAUAGGAAUUCUGGUUGUGGAGGACUACAGAGACCACAGCAAUCACAGUAGUGACCUUGGAAGCCUAGAAAAUCACAGUGUUGGCCUUGGGGCUUGGGAAGGCUGUGGAGGCCUGAGACACAUGCAGAGGCUCAAAGCAUCAAAGUUUCCAGCUCACCAACAAUUCAACCUAUGGAAGUGUGGCUGACCCCAGCCCUCUGGAUGUUAUUGGGUGGAGUGGAGGUCCACAGGUGGUGACCCUUUUUUUUAGCCUAGGGGGUGAUUUGCCCUACUACUGAACUGGAGGGAGCUGUGUGAUGAUUAUAGCGUGAUUGGUCGUUCAUUAUUUAAAAAAGAAACAAACAUUCAAAUGUUUGUGGGUUUGAAGGUCAAGCUAUCUACAGGAGAAGAAGGUGUAAUAGAAGGAGGCUUUGGACAAAGUGGA